CUUUGAAUGUGGCGUGUGGGAUCUCUGGCGGGUCAUCGUCACAGAGCUCUGCAAAGCAAAAGAAGCCUAUUAGGAACUCAAGAGGCCCCAGGAGUUCUGUAUGCAGCUGAAGGGUAACAUCCCUUGGGAGCUUUUGCCUUGUCUGGCUGACGCCUUGGCAAUCGCAAGUGACAGUGACGGAGAGCCACCUCCUCUGGAAUGCAUCAUGGAACAGGUCUGGGAGAACAGAGGGUGCAGAAAGGGAAAAGCCAGGCAUUUGUAGUCCUCCUGCCACAGAUGACCAGAAUGACCUCACCCAGGACAAACGGCGACAGAUUUAGGAAUUCAAGCCAGCUUUUCUGACUCCCAGGCACCUGCUCUCUCCUUUCGAGUGUUCGACUCCACUCUCAGUCACUCGUCACUCUUCCCAGAAGGACAAAUGUGCAGCUUCUAUGUCUUGGAUUUCAAAUAAAAGACGAGGAACUUGGUGAAAUGAGGUGG
rnacentral:lncRNA from 10 species